GGGAACAUACCCUUUUCUACGGAAUAGCUCUGGGAAACUGGAAUUAAUACCGUAUACGCCCUACGGGGGAAAGAUUUAUCGGGGAAGGAUUGGCCCGCGUUGGAUUAGCUAGUUGGUGGGGUAAAGGCCUACCAAGGCGACGAUCCAUAGCUGGUCUGAGAGGAUGAUCAGCCACAUUGGGACUGAGACACGGCCCAAACUCCUACGGGAGGCAGCAGUGGGGAAUAUUGGACAAUGGGCGCAAGCCUGAUCCAGCCAUGCCGCGUGAGUGAUGAAGGCCUUAGGGUUGUAAAGCUCUCUCACCGAUGAAGAUAAUGACGGUAGUCGGAGAAGAAGCCCCGGCUAACUUCGUGCCAGCAGCCGCGGUAAUACGAAGGGGGCUAGCGUUGUUCGGAAUUACUGGGCGUAAAGCGCACGUAGGCGGAUAUUUAAGUCAGGGGUGAAAUCCCAGAGCUCAACUCUGGAACUGCCUUUGAUACUGGGUAUCUUGAGUAUGGAAGAGGUAAGUGGAAUUGCGAGU
rnacentral:rRNA from 1 species